rnacentral:tmRNA from 1 species
GGGGUCGACUGGUUUUGACAGCGAGAUUAAUUAAAUUGUAAGCACGUCGAGUAAUGAUUUUGUACUCGUUAAACACUUGAUCAACUUUUUAAUCGGCGAGAAUAACUACGCUUUAGCUGCCUAAUCCGAAUUAUAGUAGGAUUAAGCCUCGGUACACAAGGUGUACGAGCUUUAUGUCUCCGGAAAGCUUUGAUUGACAGCGUUCCAUUUGAGGCAUCGAAAAUGUCAAUAUAGACUUAGUAGCGCUUUGAUGCUUUGUUGAAACUAAAAAAGAUAAGUUAAAAGUGGGUUGUCUUUAACCAGCUUUUAAUCGAAAACCUAAGAAAAGAAUAAACGUGUAGAAAGCCUUUUGGUUACUUGUUUGGACGAGAGUUCGAUUCUCUCCGACUCCACUU